CAUCAAGAGAGCCCAUCAAGAGAGCUCCCACAAAAAAAAAAAUAUGAGUGAGGGGUAGAAACAAGGGUUCUACCAAAGAGAUAAGUGAGAGACAUGAGCUCUCGCAAAAAUUGUUGUACAAUUUUAUCAAUGCAAUUUUUUUUAUAAUUGAGGUCCAUCAAAACUUACGCGUGCGUCCUCAAAUUUCUAUCAUGGUACCAGAGAUGAAAAAGUGAUUACGACAAAAUUGAAGAUCGGAGACCCAAGACAUGAAGGGUUACGAGAUUUGAAGAAAGAGGUACGUAAUAAAUCUAAAUUUUCUUAUAGAAAAUAAUAAAGGUGGGAAAAUUAAACUAAAAGAAAAAAUUUAUGGAGGAAAAUGGAGAAAAUUAAAGUUGAUGAUAAAAAAAUAAGGAAGGAUGAAAAAAAUUGAAGAAGAAAAUAGGUUUUGAAGAAGAAAUUAUUUGAAGGAUGCUAAUGACAAGGGCAUUAGCAGAGUAUGUUGGUGACAAAAAAAUAUUCACAAAAAGAAUUUUGGAGUUUGCUAAUGACAUGAGCAUUAGCAGUGAUGGGUGGUGACAUGAGCACCACAACAAAAGAAAAAAUUUGGAGAAACAAAUGGCAAUGAAAAAAAUGUAGAAGAAAAUAUUUUGAAAAAAAUUUUGAAGUUUGCUAAUGAAAAGAGCAUUAGCGGGAUGAUUGGUGACAAGAGCACCAAAACUAUAGAAAAAUCGGGAGAAACAAAUUACAUUGGAGCAAAUUGGUAACAAGGGUACCAACACAAAGAGUUGAAAAUCUGCAAGAUGUGAAGAAGAAGAAAAGUUUUGGGAUGGUUGGUGACAUGAGCACCAAUAAUAAAAUAAGAUUUGAGGAAAAAUUUCAGGAGAUGACUGGUGACAUGUGCACUAGUGGGAUAGUUGGUAACAUGUAUACCAACGAGAAGAUGAUCAAGAUCAAUGAAAGGUAUCAAGAAGAUGGAGGUUGGUAACACGGGUGCCAACAUGAUUAGAACUCAAGUGUUUAUGACGAUUGGUGGUUGGUGACAAGUGCAUCAACGAGAUUUUUCGAAAGAUGAAAUAUUUUGAAGCACAAGAUUUUUCUAGAUUAAGGGGGAGUGUUAAAAUAUUAAUCUAGAAAAAUCUAGAUAAUACACUUGUAAAAAUAGUUAACUGUAUUAUGUAGAAAAAUCUAGAAAUAUAAUAAUCUAGAAUAAUCUUAGGAAAUAUCUAGAAGCUAGACUAGAAAAAUCUAGUAACUAAAAUGUCUAGAAUUAUCCUAAGAAAAAUCUAGAUGAUGAAGGGAGUAGAAAAAUCUACAUGAUGAAGGGAGUAGAAAAAUCUAGAAACCAUAAUACAACAACUAUAAAUAGGUUGUAUGUGCAUAAGUUUAGGGUGAGCCCAUCAAGAGAGCCCAUCAAGAGAGCUCCCACAAAAAAAAAUAUGAGUGAGGGGUAGAAAUAAGGGUUCUACCAAAGAGAUAAGUGAGAGACAUGAGCUCUCGCAAAAAUUGUUGUACAAUUUUAUCAAUGCAAUUUUUUUUAUAAUUGAGCUCCAUCAAAACUUCCGCGUGCGUCCUCAAAUUUCUAUCAUCCAUUUGUCUUAUGCUUGAGGUCCAAAAGAAUAUCAAGGGCCUACUUUCAAUUUGGGAAAUUUUGGUUACAAGUUUCCUGAUGUUGCAGUAGAGUAAAGGAAUGGAGUUACCUUCGCGGAGGACUUACAACAAUUGGUCGCGAUUCUGAAUUGUUAAACAACAUCCGUCAUGACAUCGGAACUCAUGGCAUUCACCAUCUUUUCCCUCAAAUUCCACACUAUUACUAAUUGAAGCAACAGAAGCAGCAAAACCGGUUCUUACGAAAUACUACCGUGAACCAAAGAAAUAUGGACCUCUUCCACUAUACAUAAACACCCUAAAGAAAGAUCAUUAUGUUAGCGACACUGGGGAUGUUGUCUACUAUCAAACAGACCCCAAACAUCUGUAGUGUGAUUGAUUCAGAGAACUUUCAAAGAUCGGUUUUCGAGAUCAUUCCUGUGAUGUCCGAGAUAUAUGCAUGUUUAAUGUUUAAUUUAUUUGGUAAUUAGUAUUUAAUCCAAAUUAUUGGAAUGUGUGGUAAAUGUAUCUGUUGGUAGUUGCCUUGCCCAAAGCCUAACUUAUUCGGCAAAUACACAUUUUCAUUCAAGUUAUUAGUAUAACUCGGUUCUGAUGAACAUGUAUUUGGGGAAUUAUGUAUAUAAUUAAUCAACAAGAUGCAUCUUGAUUCUUGAGUUCGUA